rnacentral:rRNA from 1 species
AAAGCGUGCGCAGGCGGUUUUGUAAGACUGUCGUGAAAUCCCCGGGCUCAACCUGGGAAUGGCGAUGGUGACUGCAAGGCUAGAGUUUGGCAGAGGGGGGUAGAAUUCCACGUGUAGCAGUGAAAUGCGUAGAUAUGUGGAGGAACACCGAUGGCGAAGGCAGCCCCCUGGGUCAAAACUGACGCUCAUGCACGAAAGCGUGGGGAGCAAACAGGAUUAGAUACCCCAGU